rnacentral:rRNA from 1 species
GGAGCUCUUGGUGGUAGUAGCAAAUACGUCAAUGAGAACAUGAAGAACAACGUGAUGA